CUGCUCCCCUAGAAGUAAUCUCAUGCCGAAAGCUCUACAAAUCCCAGUGAUGAGACUCAGGAAAAUUAGUUUGUAGAUAUGUGUACCCAGGUCAUUCUUCAGCCCCGGGCUAAAUAGUUCACAAAGUUAGCCUUUGCAUGAUUAAAAGUAGUUCGGUGAGAAGUAGGAUCGAUGUUAUGCAUAUAAAGAUCAUCAAGAUCACAAGGGCUUCAAUCAGACUAAUGGAAUGGAAUUUAGGUAUGUAUAGAGGUCAUGCAUCCGCUCUUCAAUAUAGCACUUGUGCGAGCUCUAGCCAAGUGUGCUCCAAGGGUACAGGCACAAUAUUUUCUCUAGUCAGCCCAAAGUAAUAGUUGAUCACAUCUAGCGUAAACAUGAUCUACCUGUCUUAUGUCUACAUCUGAUAAGCAUGCUCAAAAACCUAGCACUUCUAUAUACACUUGAAGUUCGCACAGAACUCCUAAACUAGUGUAGGAUAAAUGUCAUGGGAUGCAUCAGCCACCUUCUUUUAGCUUACUCUAUAAAUCAACAUCUCCAACUUAAAUCCCACAAAGUCAUCUAAAAUCACUUGCCUCUUAAGCCAUAUUUUUCAUUUAGAGAUCAUUUUCUCAAAUCUUGCUUUGUGCUCUGGACUCAAAGACUUUCUCAAACCGCAAUCGUCGACAUGAGUACGUGUAGUGGUGGAUGAAGUUGCUUUGUCCUUUCUCUUUUAUGUGGU
rnacentral:lncRNA from 1 species